GUAUGGUGCAAGCGUUAUCCGGAUUUACUGGGUGUAAAGGGAGCGUAGACGGAGUGGCAAGUCUGAUGUGAAAACCCGGGGCUCAACCCCGGGACUGCAUUGGAAACUGUCAAUCUAGGGUACCGGAGAGGUAAGCGGAAUUCCUAGUGUAGCGGUGAAAUGCGUAGAUAUUAGGAGGAACACCAGUGGCGAAGGCGGCUUACUGGACGGUAACUGACGUUGAGGCUCGAAAGCGUGGGGAGCAAACAGGAUUAGAUACCCUGGUAGUCCACGCCGUAAACGAUGACUACUAGGUGUCGGGCAGCAAAGCUGUUCGGUGCCGCAGCAAACGCAAUAAGUAGUCCACCUGGGGAGUACGUUCGCAAGAAUG
rnacentral:rRNA from 1 species